CAGAUGAGAAGCUUGCUUCUCUGAUGUUAGCGGCGGACGGGUGAGUAACACGUGGGUAACCUACCUAUAAGACUGGGAUAACUCCGGGAAACCGGGGCUAAUACCGGAUAAUAUUUUGAACCGCAUGGUUCAAUAGUGAAAGACGGUUUCGGCUGUCACUUAUAGAUGGACCCGCGCCGUAUUAGCUAGUUGGUAAGGUAACGGCUUACCAAGGCGACGAUACGUAGCCGACCUGAGAGGGUGAUCGGCCACACUGGAACUGAGACACGGUCCAGACUCCUACGGGAGGCAGCAGUAGGGAAUCUUCCGCAAUGGGCGAAAGCCUGACGGAGCAACGCCGCGUGAGUGAUGAAGGUCUUCGGAUCGUAAAACUCUGUUGUUAGGGAAGAACAAAUUUGUUAGUAACUGAACAAGUCUUGACGGUACCUAACCAGAAAGCCACGGCUAACUACGUGCCAGCAGCCGCGGUAAUACGUAGGUGGCAAGCGUUAUCCGGAAUUAUUGGGCGUAAAGCGCGCGUAGGCGGUUUCUUAAGUCUGAUGUGAAAGCCCACGGCUCAACCGUGGAGGGUCAUUGGAAACUGGGAAACUUGAGUGCAGAAGAGGAGAGUGGAAUUCCAUGUGUAGCGGUGAAAUGCGCAGAGAUAUGGAGGAACACCAGUGGCGAAGGCGGCUCUCUGGUCUGUAACUGACGCUGAUGUGCGAAAGCGUGGGGAUCAAACAGGAUUAGAUACCCUGGUAGUCCACGCCGUAAACGAUGAGUGCUAAGUGUUAGGGGGUUUCCGCCCCUUAGUGCUGCAGCUAACGCAUUAAGCACUCCGCCUGGGGAGUACGACCGCAAGGUUGAAACUCAAAGGAAUUGACGGGGACCCGCACAAGCGGUGGAGCAUGUGGUUUAAUUCGAAGCAACGCGAAGAACCUUACCAAAUCUUGACAUCCUUUGACCGCUCUAGAGAUAGAGUCUUCCCCUUCGGGGGACAAAGUGACAGGUGGUGCAUGGUUGUCGUCAGCUCGUGUCGUGAGAUGUUGGGUUAAGUCCCGCAACGAGCGCAACCCUUAAGCUUAGUUGCCAUCAUUAAGUUGGGCACUCUAGGUUGACUGCCGGUGACAAACCGGAGGAAGGUGGGGAUGACGUCAAAUCAUCAUGCCCCUUAUGAUUUGGGCUACACACGUGCUACAAUGGAUAAUACAAAGGGCAGCGAAUCCGCGAGGCCAAGCAAAUCCCAUAAAAUUAUUCUCAGUUCGGAUUGUAGUCUGCAACUCGACUACAUGAAGCUGGAAUCGCUAGUAAUCGUAGAUCAGCAUGCUACGGUGAAUACGUUCCCGGGUCUUGUACACACCGCCCGUCACACCACGAGAGUUUGUAACACCCGAAGCCCGGUGGAGUAACC
rnacentral:rRNA from 2 species